UUCUCUGUGUGAGUAUAUGUGUAUAUAAUGUGUGUGUGUGUGUGUGUGAGAGAGAGAGAGAGAGAGAGAGAGAGAGAGAGAGAGAGAGAGAGAGAGAACUUAAUACGGGAAUAGAACACAGCACCAGUACAAGAUGAGCAAAGAAAUGAUUGAAAGCUGCAGGUUGCAUAAUCUACCCUGCAAAUAAAAAGCAGCCCUGCCCGUGACAGUUGGGGACCAUCUGGUGGCACAUUACAGUUGGGUCACAUAGGAGUCGAGAUUUAACUAUUACAGGCGUUUCUAUUUCUCAGGGUCAGAUACUAGCAAGGUGGAGACAUCCCAAAUCUUUUCAAUGUAAACUUUCCUAUAGUGAUUUUCAUCUUCUGUAUUGACAACAGAUCCUAGAAAAUGUCCCCUGUGACAUGUGACUAAAAUGCACUGGGCAUGUGUGUUUUGUGUUCCUCACCUAUGACUUCUAAGAAGCAUAUAAAAAUUGUCUUUACAGGGCCAGGGCCAGGGAGCCUGCCUAUCUAAGUUGGAUCCCUGGAUCCCUGGCACCAAGGCAGUGGAAGGAAAGGCCUAACUCCCACAAGAGCAUGAGCACACACGUGUGUGUGUGUGCAAGAUAAAAUUGGAAAUUUGUAAUUGUUCUUUCAGCUCACACCCAGGAAGCAUGCUCCUGGAAGCAACCCGGACACACAGAUUUCUCACCUCUCCUGUUUUACAGUUUGUUGCUUGGUAGUUUUCCAGUGAGAUCUUCUCAUCUGGCUGUCAUUGAGACAGGGGUGGUCACCACCUGAGCUCAUGUUGUGUGUCGGCUCCCUCCUGCGUUCCACUUCUGUUUCGGUUUUCCCUGCCACGUGACUCCUGUCUAUCCCAGCUGCCUGACGGUGGGCUUUCCAGAGCGAUGAGCUCAAAUAAACCUCUGUUCUUUAAAAACUACCCCGCCCCACGUAUUCUGUUACAGCAGCAGACACAGACUGAGACGUAACCCCUUACGGACCAGUGCCUAGCCAGCUGCGUGCUUUAAGCUUUUCAUCGCUGUAGACGAACACCUGACAACCUAAGGGAGCGUGGGCUUCUUUCGGUUCAUGUUUCCAUGAGUCUCAAUCCAGGAAGAACGUGGCUGAGGCUGCUCGAGUCACAGUAGCCACAAGAUGGACAGAAAGGGACAAGGACGAGAUCUGUCCGUCAAGGACAACCCUGAACGACCUACUUCCUUCAGGGGGCCCCACCCCUCCGAGGAGCUGAAACCUCACAACAGAACACCACCACGUGCAGACCAGCUGCCAACCCGGGAACCUGGGGGACAUUUCAGAUCGAAACCUGGGAACAAUUGCUUUAUCCCUGAGCCUCCGAAUUCUCAACGCAGUGCUCGGGCAACCACAGCCAACCGCUCCCCGUAGGCCUCCCAACGGGGUCAGGCUGCCAUUGCCGGGCUAGGACGCUGAGUCCGGGUUUCACCCGGAUGGUGCGAGAUCUUGCUUGGGGAACGUGUAUUUUCACCUUGUCUGUCGGUGACCUCACCUGUGUAUUUGGAGGCAAAGAUUGCUAGCUGCGGCCUGGCCACCCAAGGAGAAAGUAAUCCAGGGUGUAGUGGGGCCCACCCCACACCCCAGCAUUCGGGAGACUGGAGCAGGAGAAGAGACACUUCCAGCUCUGCUGGCAGUGCCAAAGGCCCAGCCCGUGACGAUGGAGCUCUACUCACUGUGGACUGGACCAGAAGGCAAGAGUCUGCGUCAUGGUCCCUGCUCUGCCACAAACCAGCUGUGACACCCUAAGGAAAGCAUGAUUCAGAAAAUACCAAUAAUAAUGACUUAACCAUAUGUGUAAGCCUCACAUAAUUAAAAACAUCACUUUUGCA